rnacentral:lncRNA from 12 species
CUGACACUUUCUCCGGGAGACAUCUGGAAACAAUAUGAAGUAUAAUCAGCCUGUAAUCAGGGCCAACAGCACAGAAAGAGAAUUAACUGGAGUGACACGAAAUGGAAGCAGGAGGAUGAGGUGAGUGGUCUAGGAAAAAGAUGUGUUAAGCUCACACACGUACGUGAAUAAAUAUACACCUAUAUA